UGCUGACAAACCUACCUCCCUCCCUGUGUUGCCCAUUCAGAACUCACGACUCAGCCACACCCCACGCAGUGCAGGUACGCUGACCGUGGAAUUUACUGCCUGAGCUAAGGGAGUUGUGAGUAUGAAAAGGAGCACUAUUAAUAAUUGAUUCAGGGUGAAAAGCUUACAUUUGAACUGCGCUAUCUCAGGAGACCCAGGACAUAGGAUCAUCAGCCCAAGUGCGGAGCAUCCCUGCAUGGCUGCCCUCCCGGCUCACAAGCCCUCUGCUGAUGGCUUCUUCAGGACAGAUGUCCAUCCUUGGUCCAGCCCGCAGUCGUCAGGCUGACAGAGCCAGCAGGUGUAAAGCAUCCCAGCCCACAACUAGGAGAGGGCAUGGCAUGGACUCAGAGGACCCUCAGCAGGUGUCAGCACAACUGGCAGGCAUCCAGCACGGGCUGCGCCUAUGAAACGUGUGCUGAGCUUGCUCACCGAGUAAGACCGCACGGGCCCCAUCCAGUUAAACUCCCUGGAGCGUGGGGAGAGGAGGACCACGUCUGGGAAGGCAACAUUUCUGAGGGACUCCUCCAGAAGGCGCCACUCCUCUGAAGAUGACAGUUUCAGGGUGCCAUCUGCAAAUGAGCAUUGGAGUAGCUGGGGGCUCACCUCACAGGAGAGGGCUGACCACGGCUGGAGGGGCUGAGGGCCUAUGGGAGCAGAGCACUGGCUGGCAAGGGGGAGCUGGGGAGAGGAAGAAAAUGGGCCUCUCCUCUUUGGCAUGUUGUUUACCAGUUCCAUGCCCAGAAACAGGGCGAAGAGUCUCUUGGUCUGUUUAGCUCCUCUUCUGCCGCACUGAGUGGCCUCUAACCCCAGGUCCUAGCACUUAGGAUUGGGCCAUUCAACUGUGCAUUAAAAAGCAGCCUGGAGACCAAAUCAACUUUUAUUACCUUGUUUGUCUGGGAAAAUCUGUUCCAAAUUCCAAAGAACAGACUUAAACAUGAGCUGCGGGACACAACCCAUGUGUAAGUUGGAGCUGUCUGGAGAAGAGAGCACUGAUCUGACCGCAGUGAAGAACACAAUCUGGCAUAAUCUGUGCCUACAGCAAUGGGAAUCACUAGUGUUAUAAAUAAAACAGGAACAAGAAUUAUUACAUGAAAGACUUUAGAGGAAAAAAUGUUCCUUUUUGAAAAACAACAUCCAUCUGUGCAAUGGUAAGAGGUACUUAGCGAUCAUUCAAUUAGAAGCAAAAUAAAGACUAAAGAGAAAAGUUAGAAUCCCAGCAGAUGUAAGUAGGAUGUUUGGAAACUUCACGCAAAUCAACAUGAGAGAUGCUGAUGCCUACAGAGGUCAAAUCCUGCAUUCUUCUCCUGACAUAAAGAAACGCCUACCAGAAUGAUCACAUUAUCCACUCCCAUCGUUUGCAGUAGAAAAGAAGCUUUCCUGCCGCUGGCAUGUGGCCUGUGAUGAAGACUACUAGGCCCAUUGUCGUUUGUGCCUAUGCACAGCCUGAGUCCAAGGCACCCUUCCAAGGAGAGCCUCCUGGUGGACGACAAGACCUUGGGCCUUCUAGCAAAUGAAAGAAUGGCUGCCAUUGUCCAGGUGAUGCACGGGGCACUGCUGACCUGGGUUUCUCAUAAGGAGAACUCUGGUCUCUGAUAUUGUGAGCCGGUAAAAAAGAUUUCAGUGUUCUGUGUGCAAAAAUGGUUAUCACUUCUGUUGGUGUUAAAAUAAAUAAAUAAAUAAAUAAAAUAAA
rnacentral:lncRNA from 10 species